CCUUCCAGCAGCAAGCACAUCACAGAGACUUUCCCAGAUCAAGCAAAAGUGGGGACAGUAUUGAGGAUGUAGCUUCUCCUUCCACACACACAGUUGGGCCUGGCCUCUGCCUGCAGGGCUGGGACAAGACAGAACUUGCUCUUGGGGCAGUGCAAGUUCGGGGGUCACCCCUGGGGGUGAGCACUUCCUGGAACAAUUUACCCUGAAAAUCUCAUGGCUCGCCUGCCCCAGGCCUGCCCCUGACCUAGAACCUCAAUUUUACUUUCUCAACUCUAAACAGGGCUUGCACUUCUGGGCUUGCCUUAAUCCGCACUUCUGGGUGUAAACCUCCACUCACUCCGAAGUCAUUUACUAAGAGCCUGUUGUGCUUCAGCACUUGUGUAAGAUCCCGGGGACGCCAUUUAGAAGUUUACAGACCAGCAGUGCAAACAUAUAACUUAGAGAAGAAAAGGAGAAGGAGGAAGAAAGAGGUGGCGGUAUGCAGGUUAUGACAUCAUUCCAGAGACAUCUUAUCUAAAUCCUCAUAACAGAUGUUUGAGGAAAGGUGAAACUAAGACAUAAGCCUCUUAGAAGUAUUGUCAAACUGUUGUAAUCUCUUCCAACAUAUUUAACCAGUGCAUGCUCCACACAGGGGGGCCCAGCACGCUGCGUGUUAUCAACACUCACCAGAUACUGCUCUGAACUGCUGAAGUGCAGGUGACUUUGAAACAGAGAAAGGAAUCUUUUGUGCUUAAGGAGAAUGGCAGUGCACAAACCACUGAAUGUUCAGAAGAAAAUGCACUAUCAAUUAGGAUGCAUCUUAUCUGUGUGCUUUUUUUUUCUUAAAGAAGAAAGCCAAAGGUCAUUAAAUGAUCCAUCUGGUAGGGAUCCUGCCAUCACAUUGCACAUUUUCCUACUUUCCCAGAAGCUUGCACAUGAGUGUCCCAGGAAGAGCAUCAUCUGCUCAUUCCUCAGUUAUCCAGGAAAAAUCAAAUUUUAAAUACUUCAAGAGCAGUGGCUGCCACUUCCUUGCAGUCUGUUGGUAUUGAUCACCAAAAAGAGAUGUGUUUACUAGGGACCUUUCCUUUCACGGAUUUUGAUACACAAAUACUUGCCCCUGUGUUACAACUGCCUACAGUAUUCAGCACAGCCACAAGCUGCACAGGUUUGCCUAACAGUCAUGGCUUCUUGAGGAUCCUUGAGUCAAAACAAUAACAACAAAAAUUAAAGCAAGCAAACAAA
rnacentral:lncRNA from 1 species